rnacentral:misc_RNA from 1 species
GAUGAAGAACGCAGCGAAAUGCGAUACGUAAUGUGAAUUGCAGAAUUCAGUGAAUCAUCGAAUCUUUGAACGCAUAUUGCGCUCUCUGGUAUUCCGGAGAGCAGGCUUGUUUGAGUAUCAGUAAACACCUCAACUUCCAUAUCUUUUUUGAAAUGGGAGUUGGACUUGAGUGAUCCCAACGCUUUUCCUCACCGAAAAGUGGCGGGUUACUUGAAAUGCAGGUGCAGCUGGACUUUUCUCUGAGCUAUAAGCAUAUCUAUUUAGUCUGCCUAAAAAACAGAUUAUUACCUUUGCUGCAGCUAACAUAAAGGAGAUUAGUUCUUGUGCUGACUGAUGCAGGAUUCACAAAGACAGCUUCGGCCGACUUUGUAAACUCGAUCUCAAAUCAAGUAAGACUACCCGCUGAACUUAAGCAUAUCAAUAAGCGGAGGA